rnacentral:tRNA from 1 species
GGAGAGGUCGCAUAGUCUGGCCUAGUGCGCGCGCUUGGAGAGCGCGUUUCCUGAAAGGGAACGUGGGUUCGAAUCCCACCCUCUCCGCCA